rnacentral:rRNA from 1 species
UGAGCAACCUGCCCCUGACUCUGGGAUAAACCCCGGGAAACCGGAGCUAAUACCGGAUACGACACGCGAAGGCAUCUUCUGCGUGUAGAAAGAUUUAUCGGUCAGGGAUGGGCUCGCGGCCUAUCAGCUUGUUGGUGGGGUAACGGCCCACCAAGGCGACGACGGGUAGCCGGCCUGAGAGGGCGACCGGCCACACUGGGACUGAGACACGGCCCAGACUCCUACGGGAGGCA